AGUCAACAUCUUUAUCUGAUCCUUGUUGAAUGUGAACUUGCUCUGGAAAAAGCAAACAAGGAUGUGGAAGUUCAAGUUGACAACUGGCUUCAGACGUAGGAAUCCCCCAGAGAAGCCCCACACAGGGGAUGGCACAGAAGGCCCUUGCCAGAUGCAAGCCUCUUGACCUUGGGCUCUUCAGCCUCCAAAGGUGACUUGGACCUUGUCCCCAUUCAAGAAGUUGAGGGCGUGACUUCAGAUGUAGGUGUGUCACCCAUGGGGUCGAGCUGUGCU